CAUUUGCUGAGGAGUCCCAUAAUAGGACGAAACGGCCGUCCAGUGC
rnacentral:hammerhead_ribozyme from 1 species